rnacentral:rRNA from 1 species
UACGUAGGGUGCAAGCGUUAAUCGGAAUUACUGGGCGUAAAGCGUGCGCAGGCGGUUUUGUAAGUCUGUCGUGAAAUCCCCGGGCUUAACCUGGGAAUUGCGAUGGAGACUGCAAGGCUGGAGUCUGGCAGAGGGGGGUAGAAUUCCACGUGUGAGCAGUGAAAUGCGUAGAGAUGUGGAGGAAUACCGAUGGCGAAGGCAGCCCCUGGGCCAAUACUGACGCUCCAUGCCACGAAAGCGUGGGGAGCAAACAGG